GCUGGGCAUGGUGGCGCAUGCCUGUAAUCCCAGCUACUCAGGAGGCUGAGGCAGGAGAAUUGCUUGAACCCAGGAGGCGGAGGUUGCGGUGAGCCGAGAUCGCGCCAUUGCACUCCAGCCUGGGUAACAAGAGCGAAACUCUGUCUCAA
rnacentral:SRP_RNA from 1 species